UACGGAGGGAGCUAGCGUUGUUCGGAAUUACUGGGCGUAAAGCGCACGUAGGCGGACUGAUCAGUUGGGGGGUGAAAUCCCAGGACUCAACCCUGGAACUGCCUCUAAUACUGGCGGUCUUGAGAUUUGGAGAGGUGUGUGGAAUUCCUAGUGUAGAGGUGAAAUUCGUAGAUAUUAGGAAGAACACCAGUGGCGAAGGCGGCACACUGGCCAACAUCUGACGCUGAGGCGCGAAAGCGUGGGGAGCAAACAGG
rnacentral:rRNA from 1 species